GGGAAACUGCCUGAUGGAGGGGGAUAACUACUGGAAACGGUAGCUAAUACCGCAUAACGUCGCAAGACCAAAGAGGGGGACCUUCGGGCCUCUUGCCAUCAGAUGUGCCCAGAUCGGAUUAGGUAGUAGGUGGGGUAAUGGCUCACCUAGGCGACGAUCCCUAGCUGGUCUGAGAGGAUGACCAGCCACACUGGAACUGAGACACGGUCCAGACUCCUACGGGAGGCAGCAGUGGGGAAUAUUGCACAAUGGGCGCAAGCCUGAUGCAGCCAUGCCGCGUGUGUGAAGAAGGCCUUCGGGUUGUAAAGCACUUUCAGCGAGGAGGAAGGUGGUGAGUUUAAUACGUUCAUCAAUUGACGUUACUCGCAGAAGAAGCACCGGCUAACUCCGUGCCAGCAGCCGCGGUAAUACGGAGGGUGCAAGCGUUAAUCGGAAUUACUGGGCGUAAAGCGCACGCAGGCGGUUUGUUAAGUCAGAUGUGAAAUCCCCGGGCUCAACCUGGGAACUGCAUUUGAAACUGGCAAGCUAGAGUCUGGUAGAGGGGGGUAGAAUUCCAGGUGUAGCGGUGAAAUGCGUAGAGAUCUGGAGGAAUACCGGUGGCGAAGGCGGCCCCCUGGACGAAGACUGACGCUC
rnacentral:rRNA from 1 species